ACUAGAAGCACUUCUGUCACGUUAAUAUUAGUGGCAGACAAAAAAAUCACUAUUGGUGUCCAAAGCAUGUUGUUUACUUCGAGAUAGCAACACAAUAUUUGUACUUCCCUUCUUCGUUAGUACCUUUCUUCUUGACAAAAACAGUAAAGGUCAUGAGCUCUGGAAAACAAUUGUGCUCUUCACAAUACUUGGGUUUUGUAAUAAAGAAAUGAAUGAUAUAAACUAUUUGAAUUUUAGGAACCAUAAGAACAGGGAAGUUCCGAUGCUUCUAAGAGACUUGCAGCUCAUGAUUCCCAUAUGUGGAAGGUUCAAAAAAGGCUAUCUCUUUAGCGAUCCCACACAAAUCCUACCUUGGACUCACUAAGCUUUCCAAGGACCACAUAUGCCUUUCUUUUUUUUAAAAAAAAACAAGACAGAAAGCCAGCUUAUUCCCCUUCUCAUAUCUCUUCAUCUUCUUUUUUCUCACGCCCAAAUAACUGUUUACUCUGAAUUAGAGGCCAAUUAGUAAACCCUAGAGGUAAUGAAGGAACAUCUGAAGAUCAGUUGCAGUCACAGCAAUCCUUGUGACAUCACAGAAGAAGCUUUGGCUCUCAAGGAUACCAGAGAUUUUUCAUGAAUGAACUAAUGAUGAUGUCUCUAAGACCUGCCAUGGCCUAUCUGCUAAAGAGCUUUCCUUACAUUGACUAGAUUUGAGGGUGCCCUUUCCAGUUCAAGGUAAACUGGAGGUUCAAUUGGGAUGCAAUGAAGAGCCCCUGACAAGCAUAUUCUUCAAAGCCUCCCAUGGUGUAACUGAAGAUACGAUAUGUGAAGUAGCCCUAGCUUGCCUGCUCAAGGAGGGACAUCAGAAUGAUACCUUUUGCUCCAGUUGUUCUCAAAUUCACAUCUUCUGUCCAUGGGGUCUGUAAUGUCACCGUUUCAUAGAAGAACUUCAGUGUCUCUCCUUUUCCCUAUGGGAGCAUCAACACUCCACAUCUACUCACAAGUAUUUCACCUUUUUUCUCUGUAUAGUGGACAAGAGCACUUUCACCAAAGGCCCACAUUGGCCUGAAAUAUCUUCUUUUGCCCAAGGCGUACUCAUGCCUGCACUCUCUUGUGGCCAUCAUUAGCACUUCUUCUCUUGAUUUUGUGAGCCUGCUAUAUCCCAACUCUUUAGGAUUACAUACAAACUUAUUUCUGCUACAUGUAUUCUGAGACAUUCCUCCAUGGAAGAAAGGGGUGUUGAUCUUUUCUUGUCUGACAAAAGUCUUCAAAGCCCAAAGACAACUGCUGGAAUGAAAUGCAACCUAUAGGACUGAUGGAAGAAUUGCUACCUGGACUUUCAAAUGGCAUGAAAAUAUAUGGACAUUCUAAAUACUGAAAAAGAAUAGUAAGCUGAUCAAGCAAUACUGGAUCUUCCUCUGCUCCACGAGGUACUAACAUUUUCUCCAGAAUAAAAUGUUUUUUCUUAUAUUUUAGAAGUAGCCAGAGAUUUUAAACUUCUAACAAACCGGUAUACAAUAUCUCCUUUGCACAUUUUCUCAGAAUUCCCGAUGAUGUCCACGGUGCAAUAACAACUUUUUCCCAUGAAGUCUGGUAUAUUACCUUUUUGAUGACUGACACAACAGUCCUACUUCUAUGCAAGUUCCCUACCUCCACCAUCUUACUGAGUAAGAUUUAGACUUAUACAAUUAAGAGGACUCCAGAAGGCCAAGGAAUUACGACACAUUCCCCAUAUGCCAAAUCCAUUUCCUCUCUAAAAUUUCUAAGUUUAUUGUCCUGAGAAACACUGUUCUGACGAAGAGAUCUCAGAGAAAUCUGGACUGAGUUCUCAAACAAGAGUCUAAAAGCAAGCACAAAUCAGACUACUGUCUUCAUUGUG